rnacentral:rRNA from 1 species
AGAGUUUGAUCCUGGCUCAGAACGAACGCUGGNGGCAUGCCUAACACAUGCAAGUCGAACGAGACCUUCGGGUCUAGUGGCGCACGGGUGCGUAACGCGUGGGAAUCUGCCCUCUGGGUACGGAAUAACUCAGGGGAAACUUGAGCUAAUACCGUAUAAUGACUUCGGUCCAAAGAUUUAUCGCCUGAGGAUGAGCCCGCGUAGGAUUAGCUUGUUGGUGAGGUAAAAGCUCACCAAGGCGACGAUCCUUAGCUGGUCUGAGAGGAUGAUCAGCCACACUGGGACUGAGACACGGCCCAGACUCCUACGGGAGGCAGCAGUGGGGAAUAUUGGACAAUGGGCGAAAGCCUGAUCCAGCAAUGCCGCGUGAGUGAUGAAGGCCUUAGGGUUGUAAAGCUCUUUUACCCGGGAUGAUAAUGACAGUACCGGGAGAAUAAGCCCCGGCUAACUCCGUGCCAGCAGCCGCGUAAUACGGAGGGGGCUAGCGUUGUUCGGAAUUACUGGGCGUAAAGCGCACGUAGGCGGCUUUGUAAGUUAGAGGUGAAAGCCCGGGGCUCAACUCCGGAAUUGCCUUUAAGACUGCAUCGCUAGAAUUGUGGAGAGGUGAGUGGAAUUCCGAGUGUAGAGGUGAAAUUCGUAGAUAUUCGGAAGAACACCAGUGGCGAAGGCGACUCACUGGGACACAUAUUGACGCUGAGGU